CACCUCUAGCAUAACAACUAUUAGAGGCACUGCCUGCCCAGUGACAUAUGUUAAACGGCCGCGGUACCCUGACCGUGCAAAGGUAGCAUAAUCAUUUGUUCUUUAAUUAAGGACUUGUAUGAAAGGCCCAACGAGGAUUUUACUGUCUCCUGCUUCCAAUCAGUGAAAUUGACCUCCCCGUGAAGAGGCGGGGAUAGACCUACAAGACGAGAAGACCCUAUGGAGCUUCAAUUAAUUAGCCUAACUGCAAUUCUCACAAACCAACAGGAAUUAACCACCUGCAGCCUAGCCUAACAAUUUCGGUUGGGGUGACCUCGGAGCACAAACAAACCUCCGAAUGGCUACAUACUCAGACCUUACCAGUCGACGUACCUCAAUACCAUUAAUUGAUCCAAGCAAUUGAUCAACGGAACAAGUUACCCUAGGGAUAACAGCGCAAUCCUAUUUCAGAGUCCAUAUCGACAAUAGGGUUUACGACCUCGAUGUUGGAUCAGGACACCCUAAUGGCGCAACCGCUAUUGAUGGUUCGUUUGUUCAACGAUUAAAGUCCUACGU
rnacentral:rRNA from 1 species